rnacentral:rRNA from 1 species
UAGAGUUUGAUUAUGGCUCAGGACGAACGCUGGCGGCGUGCUUAACACAUGCAAGUCGAACAGAAAGGCCCUGCUUUUGUGAGGUGCUCGAGUGGCGAACGGGUGAGUAACACGUGAGUAACCUGCCCUUGACUUUGGGAUAACUUCAGGAAACUGGGGCUAAUACCGGAUAGGAGCUCCUGCUGCAUGGUGGGGGUUGGAAAGUUUCGGCGGUUGGGGAUGGACUCGCGGCUUAUCAGCUUGUUGGUGGGGUAGUGGCUUACCAAGGCUUUGACGGGUAGCCGGCCUGAGAGGGUGACCGGCCACAUUGGGACUGAGAUACGGCCCAGACUCCUACGGGAGGCAGCAGUGGGGAAUAUUGCACAAUGGGCGGAAGCCUGAUGCAGCAACGCCGCGUGCGGGAUGACGGCCUUCGGGUUGUAAACCGCUUUCGCCUGUGACGAAGCGUGAGUGACGGUAAUGGGUAAAGAAGCACCGGCUAACUACGUGCCAGCAGCCGCGGUGAUACGUAGGGUGCGAGCGUUGUCCGGAUUUAUUGGGCGUAAAGGGCUCGUAGGUGGUUGAUCGCGUCGGAAGUGUAAUCUUGGGGCUUAACCCUGAGCGUGCUUUCGAUACGGGUUGACUUGAGGAAGGUAGGGGAGAAUGGAAUUCCUGGUGGAGCGGUGGAAUGCGCAGAUAUCAGGAGGAACACCAGUGGCGAAGGCGGUUCUCUGGGCCUUUCCUGACGCUGAGGAGCGAAAGCGUGGGGAGCGAACAGGCUUAGAUACCCUGGUAGUCCACGCUGUAAACGGUGGGUACUAGGUGUGGGGUCCAUUCCACGGGUUCCGUGCCGUAGCUAACGCUUUAAGUACCCCGCCUGGGGAGUACGGCCGCAAGGCUAAAACUCAAAUGAAUUGACGGGG